rnacentral:rRNA from 1 species
GGAUUGGGAGGGUUCUACGGAACCCGUUUGGUGAAUCUAGUGCCGAGAAAAGCCUUCUAUGUGUUGAAUUUCUAGUACCCGUACCCCAAACCGACACAGGUGGGUGGGUAGAGCAUACCUAGGGGCGCGUGAUAACUCUCUCUAAGGAACUCGGCAAAAUGGCCCUGUAACUUCGGGAUAAGGGGUGCCUGCGUGAGCAGGCCGCAGUGAAAUGGCUCUGGCGACUGUUUACCAAAAACACAGGUCUCUGCUAAGUCGUAAGACGAUGUAUAGGGGCUGACUCCUGCCCAGUGCCGGAAGGUUAAGGAAGUUGGUUAGCGCAAGCGAAGCUGGCGACCGAAGCCCCGGUGAACGGCGGCCGUAACUAUAACGGUCCUAAGGUAGCGAAAUUCCUUGUCGGGUAAGUUCCGACCCGCACGAAAGGAGUAACGAUCAGAGCGCUGUCUCGGAGAGAGACACGGCGAAAUAGGAUUGUCCGUGAAGAUACGGACUACCUGCACCCGGACAGAAAGACCCUAUGAAGCUUUACUGUAACUUGGAAUUGUGUUCGGACUUUGUCUGCGCAGAAUAGGUGGGAGGCUAUGAAACGUUCCUCGCGGGGAACUGGAGCCAUCGUUGAGAUACCACUCUGGCAGAGUCUGGAUUCUAACCUACGGGGACAGUUCCAGGUGGGCAGUUUGACUGGGGCGGUCGCCUCCUAAAAUUAACGGAGGCGCGCAAAGGUUCCCUCAGGCUGGUUGGAAAUCAGCCAUAGAGUGUAAAAGCAUAGGGAGCUUGACUGUGAGACCUACAAGUCGAGCAGGGACGAAAGUCGGCUUUAGUGAUCCGACGGCACUGAGUGGAAGGGCCGUCGCUCAACGGAUAAAAGUUACUCUAAGGAUAACAGGCUGAUCUCCCCCAAGAGUUCACAUCGACGGGGAGGUUUGGCACCUCGAUGUCGGCUCGUCGCAACCUGGGGCGGUAGUACGUCCCAAGGGUUGGGCUGUUCGCCCAUUAAAGCGGCACGUGAGCUGGGUUCAGAACGUCAUGGGACAGUUCGGUCCAUAUCCGGUGUAGGCGUAGGAGCAUUGAAAGGAUCUCUCCUUAGUACGAGAGGACCGGGAGGGACGUACCUCUGGUGUACCUGUUAUCGUGCCAACGGUAAACGCAGGGUAGCCAUGUACGGAGUGGAUAACCGCUGAAAGCAUCUAAGUGGGAAGCCCACCUUAAGAUGAGUGCUCCCUUGAGGCCACGGGAAGACGACCCGUUUGAUAGGCGCUAGGUGGAAG